UGUGACGUACACUGCUUCCAUCUACGGCUGGUAGCAGUUUCUUUUUGAGUUCAGAUCUAGCAAUCCACACAAACAUCAUGCAGCCAGAGUAACUUAGGGUCAUAGUACUGGUCUAGGGUGUGUCUUUGGUACGUCUCCCACUGACCAGCCUCCAAAUUUCUGCACACAA
rnacentral:snoRNA from 1 species